UUCUGUCUUGAUCCUAAGCUAUCAUCAGAACUGACAUUGUUACGCAAGCGGUAUGUCAAUAUCUUGGGAUUUCCCUUCCAGAAUGUUCAUAUUUCGAGUGGCCUUAAGGAUGCAAAGGUGCAUAUAUUGUUUUUAAGAUGAUGUAUACCUGAAACCUGAUUAUUUACCACACUUUAAGGAUGAUGUAGGUGACCCAGAGAGCAGACAUAAAGGAAUGCUUGAGACAGAGAACUUUUACAACUACAAUAAAAAAUGGAGAAGUCUUUGCCAAUUUUUUUAGGUUUGUAUCUUGGGCUACUGUAUUACUUAAACUAGAAUUGUAUCAAAUAUGCAUGCCGAGAUGAUUAAUUUGCAUGGCCCUUAAAUAUGGACAAACAAUUGUGAACUAAAUAAUGUACAUUGAUGAUGAGAAUAUUGAAAAUAUGUUAAUCACCAAGUCUUGCUCAUUUUUAAGUUGUCCAUAAUUAUAUUAUCCCCCUUCCUUUAAAUGACCUUCCAGAUAAAACUUCUAUUUUAGGAUGAUUAGCCAUAUUUGAAGAAGUUGACGAAUCUGAGAUAAAUUGACUGCAUACAAAAUAGAUUUAUAUCAUAUUUUUUAAUGUCAUGACUGCAAUAGAAAAAUUGAUGGUCCACUCACUCGAUAAAGGGUUAAUGAGUUAAA